GAUGAACGCUGGCGGCGUGCCUAAUACAUGCAAGUCGAGCGAGCGGACGAGAAGCUUGCUUCUCUGAUGUUAGCGGCGGACGGGUGAGUAACACGUGGAUAACCUACCUAUAAGACUGGGAUAACUUCGGGAAACCGUAGCUAAUACCGGAUAAUAUUUUGAACCGCAUGGUUCAAAAGUGAAAGACGGUCUUGCUGUCACUUAUAGAUGGAUCCGCGCUGCAUUAGCUAGUUGGUAAGGUAACGGCUUACCAAGGCAACGAUGCAUAGCCGACCUGAGAGGGGGGUGGCCCAAACGGGACCUGGACAACGGUCCGGCCCCCAAGGGGGGGCAGCGGGGGGGAAUUUCCCGAAUGGGGGGAAGGCCUGAGGGGGCAACGCCGGUGGGGUGUGAAGGUUUUCCGGACCGAAAAACUCUUUUUUUGGGGAAAAAAAAUUUGUAAGGUAACGGGCCCAAUUUUGACGGUACCAAUUCAAAAAGCCCGGGCAAACUACGG
rnacentral:rRNA from 1 species